GUCUACUGCCAUGCCACCCUGAAUGUGCCAGGUCUGAUCUCGGAAGCCAAGCAGGGUCAGGCCUGGUUAGUACUUGGAUGGGAGACCACCUAGGAAUACCAAGUGCUGUAGGUG
rnacentral:rRNA from 1 species